rnacentral:rRNA from 1 species
UACACACCGCCCGUCACACCAUGGGAGUGGGUUUCACCAGAAGCCGGUCGCCUAACCGCAAGGACGGCGCCGACCACGGUGAGAUUCAUGACUGGGGUGAAGUCGUAACAAGGUACCC